rnacentral:rRNA from 1 species
UUCCGGUUGAUCCUGCCGGAGGCGACCGCUUUUGGAGUUCGAUUAAGCCAUGCGAGUAGAAAGAAAUUAGAUUCUUUGCGAACUGCUCAGUAACACGUGGAUAACCUGCCCUAUGCUCCGGAAUAACCUCGGGAAACUGAGAAUAAUACCGGAUAGAUCACAACGCCUGGAACGGUGUGUGGUUGAAAGAUUACGGCAUAGGAUGGGUCUGCGGCGUAUCAGGUUGUAGGGGGUGUAAAGGACCUCCUAGCCAUCGACGCGUACGGGUGUUGGGAGACAUAGCCCGGAGAUGGAUUCUGAGACACGAAUCCAGACCCUACGGGGUGCAGCAGGCGCGAAAACUUCACACUGCAGGAAACUGUGAUGAGGGGACUCCAAGUGCACGCACUUAGUGUGUGCUUUUUUCAACUAUUAAUCGGUUGAAGAAUAAGGGCUGGGAAAGACCGGUGCCAGCCGCCGCGGUAAUACCGGCAGCUCAAGUGGUCGUCGCUUUUAUUGGGCCUAAAACGUCCGUAGCCUGUUUGGUAAAUCUGUGGGUAAAUCAACCAGCUUAACUGGUUGAAUUCUGCAGAGACUGCCAGACUAGGGACCGGGAGAGGUGUGGGGUACUCUAGGGGUAGGGGUAAAAUCCUGUCAUCCUUAGAGGACCACCAGUUGCGAAGGCGCCACACUGGAACGGAUCCGACGGUCAGGGACGAAGCCUAGGGGCACGAACCGGAUUAGAUACCCGGGUAGUCCUAGGUGUAAACGCUGUGAACUUGGUGUCGGGGAUCCGUCAUGGGUCCCCGGUGCCGGAGUGAAGAUGUUAAGUUCACUGCCUGGGGAGUACGGUCGCAAGGCUGAAACUUAAAGGAAUUGGCGGGGGAGCACUGCAACGGGAGGAGCGUGCGGUUUAAUUGGAUCAACGCCGGA